ACUCCUACGGGAGGCAGCAGUGGGGAAUUUUGGACAAUGGGGGCAACCCUGAUCCAGCCAUGCCGCGUGAGUGAAGAAGGCCUUCGGGUUGUAAAGCUCUUUCGGCCGGGAAGAAAUCGUGGUCUCUAACAUAGGCCAUGGAUGACGGUACCGGACUAAGAAGCACCGGCUAACUACGUGCCAGCAGCCGCGGUAAUACGUAGGGUGCGAGCGUUAAUCGGAAUUACUGGGCGUAAAGCGUGCGCAGGCGGUUUUGUAAGACAGAUGUGAAAUCCCCGGGCUCAACCUGGGAACUGCGUUUGUGACUGCACGGCUAGAGUAUGGCAGAGGGGGGUGGAAUUCCACGUGUAGCAGUGAAAUGCGUAGAGAUGUGGAGGAACACCGAUGGCGAAGGCAGCCCCCUGGGCCUGUACUGACGCUCAUGCACGAAAGCGUGGGGAGCAAACAGGAUUAGAUACCCUGGUAGUC
rnacentral:rRNA from 1 species